CUGACCCCACCCGCGCAGGAACCUGGGGGCACGCGCUGCGGCGCGCGCCCAGGAAGCGGGGUCUCGCGCCGCGCGUGCCGGGGGUGGCUCCGCGCACGCAGAAGAGGGACUAGCGCCGCCGGUGCCAAGGGGCCCCGCGCGCGCAAGAGGGUUUGAAAACAGAUCCUGGAAGGAAUGACUGAGCUAUUAUGCUGCUGGCUGAGAGGAGAAGCUCUGUAGGCAACCUUGAGCAGUUUUGUCUGUUCUGGAGACACUGGGCAGAAACAGGCUGAAAUGCAGUGACGCUGUUGCACGGAUCCACCCCCCGAAUCUUUGGCAUCAGGGCAAAUGGACAGACGCGGCAUUUUCAUCUUUUAAGGCACAUUCCACACACGAUCUUCCAAAAGAAUGUUCUGGUUUCCAGGAACCAACGAAAUAGAAGAGCAACUGUUCCCAACAGGUCCUGAGAUCUCCGCUCUGAAGGAAUCAGGGUCUCGGGAGUAGUCCUACAAUGGUUUGUCCUGUGUUUACAAGCGAGUGUGUACUCCCCAAGGGUGGUUAAGGUUUCAUCACCGUCAGCGUGUGUUCUGACUUCUAUCAGAGCAGCUGCCCCUGCUUCCAGACGAGCCAGCCUGGAUCUUUCUGAAGUGGUAGCGCUUGCAGCUCCUGGUUAGAGGCCCUGCUUCCAUCCCGCAGUGACCUCCCCUCUGCCUUCUGCCCCAACAGAAGCCCAGUCCUGGGGUUUUCCAGGAGGAAGGCUGAGGAGCUGAGGCCAAACUCUGUCUUACUUAAAACUGCAAAGCUGGUGGUGGAAAUGGAGAUGAGCCACUGGCGUGGGAGAAGGUGGAGGAAAAGCUUAGGGACGCCUUACAUCUGGUUGGAAAAAUUCUGAAACGGCAUGUUUACUGCUGGGAGGAGGUCAAAGACUGCUCCUGACUGCAAAUGGACCUGUUAAAUUUCCUGAUGAUAAGUAUGAUGGAGCCGGUGUUUUUCUUUCUUUCUUUCUUUCUUUUUUUUCAAAUUUUGAUUAGUGAAGAAUCUGCCUGCAAUGUGGGAGACCUGGGUCCGAUGCCUGGGUUGGGAAGAUGCCCUGGAGAAGAGAAAGGCUACCCACUCCAGUAUUCUGGCCUAGAUAAUUCUAUGGAUGGUAUAGUCCAUGGGGUCGCAAAGAGUCAGCCACGACUGAGGGACUUUCACUUUCACUUUUAGUAAAGCCAUAACUUAGAUGAGGCUCUUACAUUUUCAACUUGAAGAGUUUUUUUUUAAGUCCACUCAGUAUAUUACCAAUAGUACUAAUAUAAUUUUGAAACUUUUAUGCGUAUAGAAUUCAGCAUGAUUGUCAAUGUUUAAUGCAGUUCCUCUAAAAAUUAAAGCAGGUGGCUAACUUGGUAAAGAAUCCACCUGCAAUGAAGGAGACCUGGGCUCAAUCCCUGUGUCCAGAAGAUCCCCUGGAGGAGGGCAUGGCAACCCACUCCAGUAUUUUUGCCUGGAGAGUCCCAUGGACAGAGGAACCUGGUGGGCUACAGUCCACAGGGUCGCAAAGACUCGAACACGAAUGAGGGACUAACAUACUUUAAGAAAAUCUGAAUAAACUUAAACUUUUUUUUUUUCCUAAAGAGAGUUACUCUUGAAAGCUAAUAUACAAUGUCAAAAAUCUAACCCUACAUUAUUGAGCUGAGUAAAAAUGGAGCGGAUCUGAAGGUGCAAAACUCUGUGUGUGUGUGUGUGUGUGUGUGUGUGUGUGUGUCCAGCUUGGCAAAAGAGUUUCCCCUUUCUUCAAAGGUUUGUUGAUUUCAAGCGAAAGUCCUAGCUCUGUGGGGUGAUAUCCGUUGUGGAGAGGGGUCAUAGAAAAGAAGUAUUUUCAUGCUAAUCACGGAAGGGGCACUGUUUAUGAACUGGCAACGGAUCAAAAUGAAGGAUGUCAGAGACUCAGACUGCUCAGACCUGGCAAGAGCGCGUGCUUUCUGGGGGAGAUGAGUUAAGAUGAGACAGCACUGUUGAGGGCUCCGGGUUCUGGGUAAUUAACCUCCCCCGCCCCCCGGGAAGGCCGGCUGACCGGCGAGAGAGUGGACUUCCCCGCCCCUGAGCUCUCUGCCCCCACCCCUCCUCCUCGCUACCAAGGAUCACCCUCGUGAGGCCUCGUGGCGUUCCGCGCUGCCCUCACCGAGCCUGGCGCCUCUUCUGCCAGCGCGGGGCGGGG
ensembl:lncRNA